UAAAUCACUGUUACUAUUUUUUAUUAACCAAACAGUCGGAUCGUUGGCGCUAAUCAUUAAUCCCAAAAAUUCAAAUUGGUAGAAAUAUAUAACCAAUUCAAAAAAACUCAAGCUGGUAGAAAUAUAUAACCAAUUCAUUUAAAAAGUAUAGACAUAUUACCCACGAGUCUCGAUUGUGAUUAGAUUCAACCAGUCUCAUGCGACUUCGAACAUGACUUGAUCGAAUCUAGCCUCACGACAUUUCGAACGUGAGUUUAAAAAUUCUUUGAGUUUUUAGUAUUAAAAAAAAUUUGAUAAGAUAAGGGCAUAAUAUGGCCUUUGGAUAUGU
rnacentral:lncRNA from 1 species